AGAGUUUGAUUCUGGCUCAGGAUGAACGCUAGCGACAGGCCUAACACAUGCAAGUCGAGGGGCAUCAUGACGCGUAGCAAUACGGGUUGAUGGCGACCGGCGCACGGGUGAGUAACGCGUAUGUAAUCUACCUGUAACAGUGAGAUAACCCGGAGAAAUCCGGCCUAAUAUCGCAUGACACAUAUUAUUCGCAUGAAUUUUAUGUUAAAGAGAGUCGGUUACAGAUGAACAUGCGUUCCAUUAGCUAGUUGGCGGGGUAACGGCCCACCAAGGCGACGAUGGAUAGGGGUUCUGAGAGGAAGGUCCCCCACACUGGUACUGAGACACGGACCAG
rnacentral:rRNA from 1 species